CCGGGGCCGGGCUGGGAGCUCGUCCCACCCCGCUUGUGUUUGAGGUUCUGUAACGGGAAGGGAAAGGGGUGGGAGCCGUGCUGGAACCGCACCGGGGCUGGAAUCGGAUGAGGGUUGACGGGAAUGAAAGCGUCGAUGUGUGUCAGCGUGCGCCGACUUCUCCUGGCCUCCAGCGCUAUCGUCGAGAUGGACUCGUACAGUCGGCCCUUUGGAGAGCGUGUGGUGUCUGUGCAGGAUUCCCACCUAUUGUCUGGGUGGGGUGGCGGCGGUGCCGUUAAGCUGACAUUCCCGAUGCGAGCUAAUCUUUACCUUGAUUUUUUUGCUGAACUUACGACGGUGGAGCUUCCUCACACAGAUAUCGCAUGUGAGGAGCUCAUUGACUUCGAUACUUCUGGGUAACGCUGGGAAGCGUUAGCAAGUAGCUAAAAAUUCCCGUCCUUUCUUUAAGCAGUUGCUUCUCAGGGCAGGAGGAGGCGUGGUGGGGUUCCUUCUUCCCUUCUCCUCCAGUGAGGCUCUUCCUGCGGCUCCUCAUUCAUUUAGCCCAUGCUCGUUGCUGGCUUUGUUGCUGCUUCCUCAGCCUCUGGCCUGAAUCCAUCGGAGCUCCAAACAGGGAAAGGUUAGAGUUGUGAAAAGGCUUUUAAAAUCAUCCCAUGUACAAGGAGAGUGCCUUCCUGUUCAUCGCCAGCGUGUGGUCUUAAGGCUCAAUGGGUGUUUUUGUAAAGUAGCAGGCACCGUCUUGAGGAUGGAGAUGAUAGAUCACAGAAUCACAGAAUGGCCUGGGUUGAAAAGGAC